AUUGAACGCUGGCGGCAGGCUUAACACAUGCAAGUCGAGCGGGGGAAGGUAGCUUGCUACCGGACCUAGCGGCGGACGGGUGAGUAGUGCUUAGGAAUCUGCCUAUUAGUGGGGGACAACAUCUCGAAAGGGAUGCUAAUACUGCAUACGUCCUACGGGAGAAAGCAGGGGAUCUGCGGACCUUGCGCUAAUAGAUGAGCCUAAGUCGGAUUAGCUAGUUGGUGGGGGAAAGGCAUACCAAGGCGACGAUCUGUAGUGGGUCUGGGGGGAUGAUCCGCCACACUGGGACUGAGACACGGCCCAGCAUCCUGCGGGAGGCAGCAGUGGGGAAUAUUGGACAAUGGGGGGAACCCUGAUCCAGCCAUGCCGCGUGUGUGAAGAAGGCCUUAUGGUUGUAAAGCACUUUAAGCGAGGAGGAGGCUACUCUAGUUAAUACCUAGGGAUAGUGGACGUUACUCGCAGAAUAAGCACCGGCUAACUCUGUGCCAGCCGCCGCAGUAA
rnacentral:rRNA from 1 species